rnacentral:lncRNA from 1 species
AAACAUAACCUAGAUCGUCAUGUUCUUAUUUUAAGACCUCAUUAUAAUACUAUCAGGAUUCAAUACCAACAUACUCAGGAUUUCUAAUCCAUAUGGCUAGACAUAGAAUAAUCGUGCAUAGUAAUGUAAUCAUAAGAUAGCAAAGGCUGAAGACAUACCUCUAUCCCAAUACCGAAUCCAUGACCAAUCUGUCAUAGGCUAGCCAUAAUAAUGAUCAUAACAAUGAUAAUAACAAUAUCAAUAACAUCAUAAAUAACCGGCUACUUCGGACAACCAAAUACCUAGCCGAGCCUAUGCAUACCCCCACCACCCCAGACUCGGAAGGUUCAAUCAACAUAUAACAACACAAGGCAUAUUCUUCACCCAUAUCUAUGCAACCGUCCCAUACCGGCUAAUAGACAUAGGUGCAUACUGGUGAUAGGUGAUGCACAUGCAGGAAUGAAUGCAAAGUAUACCAUCAAUAUCACAACUCAUAAUAAUUGUCCUCAUCAGGACCAUCAUCAUCAUAAUCAACCUCCGGCCUUGCCGGGAAUCAAUAUCAUCUCAAUAGUAUCCUCCGGACUUAAACCGGGUAUCAAUAUCAUCACAAUAUCCUCCGGCCUUGCUGGAAAUCAUUAUCACUCAAUAGUAUCCUCCGGACUCGAACCGGGUAUCAAUAUCAUCAUAAUAUCCUCUGACCUUGUCGGGAAUCAAUAUCAUCUCAAUAGUAUCCUCCGAACUCAAAUCGGGUAUCAAUAUCAUCAUAAUAUCCUCCGGCCUUGACGGGUAUCAGUAUGUCAUCACAAUAUCCUCCGGCCUUGUUGGGUACCAAUAUAUCAUUAUAACUCUCAACAUAUAAAUAUAGGCAUAUAAUAGGUGCACAGACACAAGCCGAUAUACUCAUAACCGUAAAGAUGUCUAUCUUAUCAAUACAUCCCAACUAUUCAUUAUUAGCUAACCAACACAUAUUAUUAUUAAAUCGCUAGUUCCCUAGUCAUCACAUAACCUCUAGUUAUUAGCCUAAACAUUAUCCUUCACAUAAUCCUUGUUCACGAGAUAAUAACUAACCACUAUUCAUUUAAUAGUCAACAUCUAACAUCUAGUCUAGGUUCAUCGUUAGACCAAAACCGUCAUUUUUCCACCAUUCAUUAUUAUCAACUAUUCGUCCUAUUUUUGUUAAUCAUUACUAGACAACACAUUACUACUUGUCGCCUAACCGUCUUUUAUUAAAUGACAUCAUUCAUUAACUAACUAUCGUUAGCUACUAUGUUCCAACUAAGCAAGAUUCAUUAACUAAUACAUUAGCUUCCUAGCCAUCAAGUGUAAUAUUCAACUAAUAGACAACUAGUGACCACAUAGCUUAACCGUCUAACAAGAAGAACAACCAUAAGAUCACAUUUCAGCUAUAAUCACAUCAUUUAUAAUGGUAAAUAAUCAUGAACGUACCAAACCUAUGCAUGCCAUCACCAGUAUUCAAUCAGUGAAAUAAUAAGCAUCAUACUGCAUCUUCCUCCGUCCCAUACCGGAGAGACGUGUAUACAAACAUAUACAUAUUCAUUCUUCAAAUGAAAAAACCAUAUUCCAAGCAUAGCAUUAUAUCAUAUCUAUGCUACAAAUUUACCCAAACUAGGGAGAAGGCAAUAGGAUUCUACAAGGGUAUUAAGUAAUUCAACCUAUGGGUUAAAACCCCCAUCUAAUCCCCAAACUUAUAUGUAUAAUCAAUACUAAGUCAUUCUAUCCAAUAUCAAUCUUAACAUUCACAUUUACACGCAAUAUAUAUCAUACAUCAUCCAUGAAGAAGAGUAGACAGAAGCCUACCUCAAGGCUAAAUCGCAAAAUCACACUUCAAGCACCACAUGCUCGUCUUCACUUCAAAAUCUCCAAAAUGCCAUCACACUAUCAAAAAUAUAAUCUACUCAUUAAUACGAGUCUAACGAUAUCCAUAUUGCACUAUUAUGCUUUGGGUACCAAAACGACACCAAAAACCCCAAGUGGGUCCCACGUACGGAAAUCGCGUUUCCGAGGUCAACACAAACCAAGGAAUCAUAACCCUCAAUGAAUUGUUGAAAACAAACCAAAUUUAGGGCUAAAUCAAGCCCUAAGCUAAAUUGGGAUUUUGGGUCAAGAACUAAGAAAUUCACCAAUAAAGUGAUAAAUCUUACCUUAAUUCGGAUGAUAAUCAUGAUAAAAGAUGUUUACCAAGCUCCCUAGACACCCACAAGACUCAAUUUCGAGUUAUCAUACCCAUUUAGAGUUUUAGGCUCUCAAAAAUGCUGAAAAAUGCGGCUAUAGGGUGCUUAAAUACCCAUACUAGCUUUGGAGAUAAGCAGUCGCUGUCUGGGCCAUCAACAAAGUCAAAAACUUAUUUUUGACCGUCAACACUCAUUCGAAAAUCAAAAUAUAUGAUCUAAUAGUGAAAUUUGAGUGUAAAUCAUAUUUUAAAUUCAUUGGAAUCAUCAAAACUUUCAUCCGAGAUUAUUUCAAUAAAAAGUGGGUCCCACACCUAUUCAUUCAAAUUUUCAACUUUUCGAUCAAUAGGUUGAAAUGAGCUCGGGUGCAUUGGGACCCGAACCAAAGGUCUACCUAAACUAAAAUCGAUAUUCCAAAUCUGUUGGCGUAGUCAGAAUUUGCAUACGGGAUCGUUUCGCUGAACUUUUCACUCGGUGGCCAUUUGGAACCAGUGAAGACUUCUAAAUAGGGAAUUGACUCUAAAACCCAAACGAACUGCCCGAUAACUGAACCGUCGGUUCCAGCAAGUCAUAAAUGACUUGGGGCAGCUAUAGAGAAGCUCAAAUGGUGAAGAUAAGUAUAAAUAUGGAAAAUGACCUGAAGGGUCAUUACAACAUCCACUACUAAAAGGACUUUUGUCCCCGAAAGUCAACGAAUAGAAAGAAUCUCAAAAGCUCGAACGGAUGAGGUAUUGGGCCCACAUGCUCCAAGCAUGACUUCCCAGGUAACCUCAACGGAGAGAAAACACUUCUAAGAGAUUUUGCCACAACUAUCCCUUUUUCGACAAGCACUCUCAUUCUAUUUCCAAAAUAGCCAACUCAACUUAACCACCAACUGAACUGGAAAGGCUGAUGCACGCACAUCUGAAUCACAUCAUGCUGAUACCAUCUCUAUAUCCAUAUAAAUCAACAAAGGCUCAUCCAAGCCAAAAUCAAACCAACACAUAAGUAAUAAAACCAACUCCAAACCCAAAAAUAAUAUUCCUUAACAAUUUUACACAUGGUCUCAACUCCAAACCAGGUGGAAAAUCACCUAAGUCUCAUCGACUCCAUCUCAUCAUGGAGAAAUCAAAGAACUAAAGCUGAUCCGCUGAAAGUCCAUAAGGAAAACAUGGAAAUAAGCUCAUAAGGCAUUAUCUGGGCAUAUAAAUGGAGAUAAUCAAGGAAUGCAAUCCAUGCCAAUGCUGCAACUAGUACGAAUGAAAAUCAAACUGAAAUUUCAAAAUUCAAGGUAUAACUACUUAUGACUGAAUAUUUUGCUCCAGGAUGAUCCAUGUAUCUAGAAAAAAGGCAUACUAAAUCCAACUCAAGCAUAUUACUCCCACUGAGUAAAUCAUCCAAAAUUCUCAAAGAAAACUGAAGCUUGAGUUCAAAACUGAAAUAACCAAUACGACGCCCAUGGGCUAUCAUCUGAACACUUAUCAACUAUAAUCCAACCGACGUCAAGAAGACCGAAUAGACAACCACAGAGUAGGCUCAACCAGCCUAUGAAUGAAAUCUAAAUAAAGACAAGUUUAAAACAAAAGUUGUACGUAAGCUCUACAACACCAAGAUGAAAUCUCAAUACCAAGGCUAAAUCGCUCGGUCUCAAAUAUCUUAAACAAAAACUAAGAAUGGGUAGGCACUAAUGAUCCAAAUUUAUCAUACUUCCCAAUCGUCAUUCCAAAGCAUAAAGUCAAAACUGAACCAAUAAACCUCUAUCAUUACCAACCCUUCAAAUUGACUUUAGUAUCUAAAUCUAACGUAUCCGAGAUAAAUCAUGCCAAGCCACAAUACAGAAAUCAUGUAAAAGGAUAAAUCGUCGACUGAAAGUGCAAAUAACACAUCCCAUAUUUGCUGGAGGGCAUGAGUUAUCAAAACAUACUCAAAACUUCUCAAGACCUAAAACCACACUAGUGAAGGCAAACACUUUAGCAACUCGGAGAAAUACAAUUUGAGCCGGAACUAACCAAUACAAUACCCUAUCUAGGCAAAGAAAUAGCCAUAAACACAUAUAUCGAGGAAAAUCACUCCACCAAGCCUCACUAGGCCAAACAAAUGCUGAAAUAGGAAUUUCCUGAAUCCACCUAAGAACUACAUCAUUAAAGAAGAAAUACCAAUCUCAAGGCCAAGGUCAAAGUCGAGACAAUCACCAGAGUACUAACAACUCAAGCUAAAGAGUUUCUAAUUUUCCAACUUUAGAAGCGGUCACAGGAAAGGCCACCUGCCUCUAUCUUCCAACUCCUCCAGACAAAACCAUAUCACAACGACAAAAGAGUAUUCAAUCUCUACACUAACAACAAGACAAUCCAUCACAAAGGAACGAACCCAUCAAAUCUAAGAGAAGAAUCCACAACAUCUCAAUAUCAAUGUCAAAACCACUAUCGGGCGAUGAAAUAGUCACAACCAAAGAAUGGACCUCAAACUAAUUAAUCUCACAAAAGGGUUAUAUUGGAAGGGAUAGCCAAAAUACAAUCCUUCACAAACCAGGAGGCAAGUCUAAGAAUCUCAAACUCAAAAUGGGCAACAUAACUAAAUUGUCGAUUAAAAUUCACAAAAAUCAUGGAAGGUCAACUUACCUUCGAUACCACAACACGUGCCCGAACAAAUCUAAUACAGCUAACCAAGAGGGAAUAUAGUCAACCUCACCAGGCUAGGGGAAAGAACUCACCAAAUUAGGCUAUAUCUACUCUAGCCACUGAUUAGUAUCACAAGAAAAUGAAACUCUAACUAGAUAACAUGUCUAUACAGCUAACCAACGAGAAUCAAAUUCAUCAUGUAACAACAUAAAGUAAUAAUAUCAAGUAAUAUCAAUAAUUUCACACAGUGGUAGUAAUAGCAAUAGUAAUAUCAAGAUCAACUUUCUGAACAGGCGAUACCAAAAUGAACAUCAAUAUCAUGUACUACUCAAGGGCCAUAACAAGGCUAAUGUGCUAAUAUAAAUAGGACUCGAACCCCAAACCACACCCAUAGGGAAAAAAUAUCAAUAUAGAUCUACUCCAUCCACUACUAAAAGAAAUAAACCACGAAGUAGUAAUAUAAUCAUGAAUUCAACAAUAAGGCACAUAAUGAUCGAUAUAAAUUCAUCAAGGCAUAUAAUUAUCAAUGGGUAUGAAAACCCCAAUACACAUAAUAAGAGAUAAAUGUGAGAAGUAAAAAUACACCAAUCUUGGCAACAUUUACAGUCACAUGACUAACGGGCAUAGGGAAAAUAAAUUUGAACGGGUCUAAAUCAAAUCGACUGACUAAAUCAUCAACUAAGGCGCCAAACGCUCCAUCUAUAACUGAAGGUGCCACAACAUCACGAGCUGAUCUAAAUGAGCUGAAUAACUGGAAUUCACGUCAGGGAUACUCCCUAGACUAGUAGUCGGUCUCUCUAUAGUCAUAGCAUUUCCUGAAGCAUUAAUAUUGAGAGAACACAAACUAAGCUCAAAUGGAUGGCCAACUAAGGCUGAGAGAAAUCCGCAAAUUUAUGUCUAAACUUCCUAUAUCACAACCUAUUUUAUGAACUCUAGGCUGGCGGGGAAUACAUGCUAACUCUAGUUGAUCACUUAUCUCAUACUAGGGGCAUUCUCUGAACGAGUGUCUCAUUACAACACAACCAAACCAAGAAUCUAAAAUACUUUGAGAUACUACCCCUCAUAAUCCAGAAUGGUCACCAUGGCCCGAAAAAACAUACCACACUCCGACAGUCUGAUGGGGACUCAACCCAAAUCCUUUUUAGCUACCGUUGAAGAUCUUCGAUAUAUAUCUCUGACUCUCUAGUUUGAUACUGUGCUGAAAUUCUGGAAACUCGUAUUGGAGUCUUAUUCGCAUCUGUUGACAAUAUCGCAUCGUCCUUCGGAGAUAAAAUAGAGUCAAAGAAUAUAUGCAAGGUUCAUAAAAAUAUGGACACACGAUAAAGAGUCUUGCAGUGAAUUUCCUAAAAUAUCACUGUAGCCUCCUAAAGAUAGGUUACGAACGUCUCCGCACCGAUCCACAGGACUCUACAAACACUUAGUUCUUGUACUAAUACACUGAAGAAACCUAGGCUUUGAUACCAAUUUGUCACAAUCCAACUUUCUAAGUCAUGAUGCGUCUCCCAUAACCCACCAGUAGGCAAGCCAACCUAUAGCCCGAAACGGCUAGUAACUGACUACUCAAUAACAUAAGGAAAAGAAUACGGAAUAUAUGAGAUAAAGAUCAAUACAUAGACGAAUCUCAAACCUGGUGGUAUCAGUACAAGAGUUUCUAAACAUAACAAGAGUUCAAAAGUGAUAUAUCAAGGAGAAAUACACUAAUUCAACUUACCUCUGAAUACAACUUAGAGGUUAAUCUAGUACAUAGGAGAGAGAUAAGUAAUACUCCGAACGCCAGGAGCUCACUCUAAGUCUCCGAAUCAGGGCUACUCCAUACGAUGCAUAUAUCAACGGCGAUAACUCAUACUAUAAUUUGCAGGCUGUGGAGGUGUAGUAUGAGUACCAAACGAAUGGUACUCAGUAGGCAACUGCCAACUGAGCUCUAAAGAUAAAGUAGAUAUAUACAACAUAUAAACAGAAUGGAAACAAUAACCAAGAGUCCAUAAAUCAUGUAAUAAGUCAAUGAGAAUAACAAGGGACAACUAUCCUAUUCAUGUCUAAGAGUUUAACAUAAUAAGACUAAGGAAGUAUCAAGGUGAACUAUCCUAUUCCAGCUACAUUCAAUAUAUGCCAAAGCUAUACCGUAUAUACUAGGUCAAUAUACAAAUAAAGAGCGAAAGAAAGAUAUAUUAUAAUAUACAAGGCGAAAAGACGACUAUACAAUAUGAACAACGAAGAAAGAGAUAUUCGAUAGUACCAUGACUUCAUAUAGCUAGAUAUAUACGAUAUAUAUAUAAUACAUAUAAACAGAAGGUCAUCUCAAACAUAACCUAGAUCGUCAUGUUCUCAUUUUAAGACCUCAUUAUGAUACUAUCGGGAUUCAAUACCAACAUACUCAGGAUUUCUAAUCCAUAUGGCUAGACAUAGAAUAAUCAUGCAUAGUAAUGUAAUCAUAAGAUAGCAAAGGCCGAAGACAUACCUCAAUCCCAAUACCGGAUCCAUGACCAAUCUGUCAUAGGCUAGCCAUAAUAAUGAUCAUAACAAUAAUAAUAACAAUAUCAAUAACAUCAUAAAUAAUCGGCUACUCCGGACAACCAAAUACCUAGCCGAGCUUAUGUGUACCCCCACCGCCCCAGACUCUGAAGGUUCAAUCAAUAUAUAACAACACAAGGCAUAUUCUUUACCCAUAUCUAUGCAACCGUCCCAUACCAGCUGAUAGACAUAGGUGCAUACUGGUGAUAGGCGAUACAUAUGCAGGAAUAAAUGCAAAGUAUACCAUUAAUAUCACAACUCAUAAUAACUGUCCUCAUCAGGACCAUCAUCAUCAUAAUCAACCUCCGGCCUUGUUGGGAAUCAAUAUCAUCUCAAUAGUAUCCUCCGGACUCAAACCGGGUAUCAAUAUCAUUAUAAUAUCCUUUGACAUUGCCGGGAAUCAAUAUCAUCUCAAUAGUAUCCUCCAGACUCGAACCGAGUAUCAAUAUCAUCAUAAUAUCCUCCGGCCUUAUCGGGAAUCAUUAUCAUCUCAAUAGUAUCCUCCAGACUCGAACCGGGUAUCAAUAUCAUCAUAAUAUCCUUCGACCUUGCCGGGAAUCAAUAUCAUCUCAAUAGUAUCCUCCAGAAUCAAAUCGGGUAUCAAUAUCAUCUUAAUAUCCUCCGGCCUUGCCAGGUAUCAGUAUGUCAUCACAAUAUCCUCUGGCCUUGUCGGGUACCAAUGUAUCAUUAUAACUCUUGACACAUAAAUAUAGGCAUACAAUAGGUGCACAGACACAAGCCAAUAUACUCACAACCGUAAAGAUGUCUAUCUUAUUAAUACAUCCCAACUAUUCAUUAUUAGCUAACCAACACAUAUUAUUAUUAAAUCGUUAGUUCCCUAGUCAUCACAUAACCUCUAGUUAUUAACCUAAACAUUAUCCCUCACAUAAUCCUUGUUCACGGGAUAACAACUAACCACUAUUCAUUUAAUAGUCAACAUCUAACAUCUAGUCUAGGUUCAUCAUUAGACCAAAACUGUCAUUUAUCCACCAUUCAUUAUUAUCAACUAUUCGUCCUAUUUUUAUUAAUCAUUACUAGACAACACAUUACUACUUGUCGCCUAACCAUCUUUUAUUAAAUGACAUCAUUCAUUAACUGAUCAUCGUUAGCUACUAUGUUCCAACUAAGCAAGAUUCAUUAACUAAUACAUCAGUUUUUUAGCCAUCAAGUGUAAUAUUCAGCUAAUAGACAACUAGUGACCACAUAGCUUAACCGUCUAACAAGAAGAACAAACAUAAGAUCACAUUUCAGCUAUAAUCACAUCAUUUAUAAUGGUAAAUAAUCAUGAACGUACCAAACCUAUGCAUGCCAUCACCAGUAUUUAAUCAGUGGAAUAAUAAGAAUCAUACUGCAUCUUCCUCCGUCCCAUACCGAAGAGAUGUGUAUAUAAACAUAUACAUAUUCAUGCUUCAAAUGCUAAAAUCAUAUUCCAAGCAUAGCAUUAUAUCAUAUCUAUGCUACAAAUAUACCCAAACUAGGGAGAAGGCAAUAGGAUUCUACAAGGGUAUUAAGUAAUUCAACCUAGGGGUUAAAACCCCCUUCUAAUCCCUAAACNNNNNNNNNNNNNNNNNNNNNNNNNNNNNNNNNNNNNNNNNNNNNNNNNNNNNNNNACAUGCAAUAUAUAUCAUACAUCAUCCAUGAAGAAGAGUAGACAGAAGCCUACCUCAAGGCUAAAUCGCAAAAUCACACUUCAAGCACCACAUGCUCGUCUUCACUUCAAAAUCUCCAAAAUGCCAUCACACUAUCAAAAAUAUAAUCUAAUCAUCAAUACGAGUCUAACGAUACUCAUAUUGCACUAUUAUGCUUUGGGUCCCAAAACGACACCAAAAACCCCCAAGUGGGUCCCACGUAUGAAAAUCGCGUUUCCGAGGUCAACACAAACCAAGGAAUCAUAACCCUCAAUGAAUUGUUGAAAACAAACCAAAUUUAGGGCUAAAUCAAGCCCUAAGCUAAAUUGGGAUUUUGGGUCAAGAACUAAGAAAUUC